AUUAAUAAAUAUCACGUUAUUUAAAAUAAUUAUUUGAAAUAAGAAUUUUAAGAUAAUGCAGAAUUAUUCAACUCUAUUAGACGAAGCGACAAAAGGGCGGGGAGGACAGCUGGCAAAAGCAGAUAAAGCCACGCCACCCAAAAAGGAACACGGCCGAAAGCGUGUCUGAAAGUGGCAGUUCCGUAAUUAAAAUAAAAAACACGAAUCCAUUUUUGUAAUUUUGUCGGAACGAUUGGCUGUUGCUCUUGCAUGCAAUCAAAUAUCUGACUCAGACGCGAACGAAUCUCUAUCGCGCUGUCAUUGCGCUGUUUCACACACUUUUCACGAUGGGAUAAUUACGAAUAUUUCCCUAUUGUUUAUAUUUUACUAAACAAAGAUACAAGUUUUUCAUUUGUUUUAGAUUGAAACCCGACCUCUCUUGAAAGGAUUAAAAUACUUUUCUCUUUUUUCCCCUUUUUUAACUAACAAGUAGGUAAUAGAAAGCUUUAAUAAUUUAAAUACAAUUUGUUCAUCUCAGUAGGGUCAAAGGAUGGCGAUUUUUGAGAUUAGCUCGUAAAUCUCAUAUGAAGUUAAUAUAAAAUUAGUGAGUUUAGACUUGUUAGAGAAUAUGUCUUAUUUUUCAAUAAGAAUUUCUUAAGAUAUUUGAUUCUUUAGUAGGAUUCCUAUUUAAAGAAUAAGUAAUUUUUCCUUAAGAAUUUGACUUAUUUAAGGAGGAAUACUACUAGUAUAAGAAAAUGAAUACUUUUUUUUUUACAAGAAAUAAUCACUAAAUAUAAGGAGGUUGGGUUCAUUUAUUUGUAUAACACAGCAAUCAGUUUUUUGCAAGUAUAUAGUUUAUAGUGCGAGAGAAAUAAUAGAUUUAUUGAGAGAUUUGGUGUUAUUAGAGUUUUAGAUGUGAGGAAAAAUACUAGAGUGAUUUUAAUAAAUUUUUCUCUCGUCGCCCUUGGAGGCCGUGGUUUUUCUCCAGUAUAAGAGAUUUGCACAUAAAUUUUUGUGUUGUGUGAUUGGUUCUUUUUUCAUCUAAUUUUUUAUUUAUUAUUUUGUUUGAUAUUUUUACUUGUAAGAUCUUGGGCAGGAUUAAAAAUUACCUGACAAGACUAAUAUAAAAUGACUCAAUUAUAUUAUUAUCUUGUCAAACUUAAACUAAUAGAAAUUCUAUCUAGUAUUUAAAGAAAAAAAAAAGAAAAUUCUAUCUAUUUACUUAUCAUAUCAAGGAUUUUAAUUUUUAAUCUAACACGACUGUUAAUUCAAAAUUAUGUCACUCAUUUAAUAUUUUU
rnacentral:lncRNA from 1 species